rnacentral:lncRNA from 1 species
CAAUCUUCUCUUUCUGCUUCACUAUGUAUAUUAAAAUGCUCAUUUUAUUUUGUUUUUCAGUUCAAGUUUUUUUUCAGUUUAAGUUUUAAUUGAUAGGGUUUUACUUCUCUUUAUCCUUCUCUAUGCAUUUUAAUAAUGAAUUGCCUCAGUAGGCUGGGGGGUGUUUAUAGGUAACAGGAGUCCUAGAUUUGGCCUUCCCAGGUAUAGCUUAGAUAGGAUAUCUGCUUGCUAUUAGAUCAUCAUUUUCCUUAUUUAUUCUCAUUCUAGGUUCUAAUACAAUCAAAGGACAUGUUCUGAUAGUUCCACAUUAGUUCCUGAAAUGUCAAAAUCUUUCCACUAAUCAUUUAGCUCUGAACCUCUAUCCCAGUUCGUUAAAUUUUAUUUAUUUAAUAAACUACAUUCUGUUUUCCUAUAAGCCUUCAGAAUGCCAGUGGAGGCAUCCAAGAAAGGAGAAUGGAGAGUAGUGAGAUGCUGGAUGAACAGUUCUAGAAACUAAACUUGCCUUUGGUGUGAGAAAGAGAGGAGGAGAGUCACUGGCUUCCCUGCUCACACCUGGUCAGCAACAAAAACCCCAAUUUGUCUUCAGUGCUCAAACCAAUCACCUCUGUGGUGUCCAUUUGCCCACCUUCACACUUGAAUUAGAAUGUAAGCACCUCAUGGGCAAGGAUUGUCUGUUCUUUUAAAAUCCUUGCCUUCAGGGGGCAGCCAAGCAGCUCAGUGGAUGGAGAGCUAGGCCUAGAGAGGGAAGUCCUGGGUCCAAAUCUGGCCUCAGACACUUCCCAGCUGUGUGAUCCUGGGCAAGUCACUUCACCCCCAUUACUUAGCCCUUACUGCUCUUCUGCCUUGGAACCAAUACACAGUAUUGACUCCAAGACGGAAGGUGAGGAAGGUGAGGAAGGUGAGGAAGGUGAGGAAGGUGAGGAAGGAAGGAAGGAAGGAAGGAAGGAAGGAAGGAAGGAAGGAAGGAAAUGCAUCUUUCACAUCAUUGCAUAGCUAAGAGACUGUAGUUAUAAAUAUUAAUGUA